UACGUAGGGUGCAGGCGUUAAUCGGAAUUACUGGGCGUAAAGCGUGCGCAGGCGGCCUCUUAAGACAGGUGUGAAAUCCCCGGGCUUAACCUGGGAACUGCGCUUGUAACUGAGAGGCUAGAGUGUGGCAGAGGGGGGUGGAAUUCCACGUGUAGCAGUGAAAUGCGUAGAGAUGUGGAGGAACACCGAUGGCGAAGGCAGCCCCCUGGGCUAACACUGACGCUCAUGCACGAAAGCGUGGGGAGCAAACAGG
rnacentral:rRNA from 1 species